GUUUCUGCAGUGUAGCGGUUAUCAUGUUCGCCUCACAUGCAAAAGAUCCCCGGUUCAAUCCCGGGUGGAAACA
rnacentral:tRNA from 1 species